UAGUGGCGAACGGGUGAGUAACACGUGGGCAAUCUGCCCUUCACUCUGGGACAAGCCCUGGAAACGGGGUCUAAUACCGGAUAUCACUGCCACGGGCAUCCGUGGUGGUUGAAAGCUCCGGCGGUGAAGGAUGAGCCCGCGGCCUAUCAGCUUGUUGGUGAGGUAAUGGCUCACCAAGGCGACGACGGGUAGCCGGCCUGAGAGGGCGACCGGCCACACUGGGACUGAGACACGGCCCAGACUCCUACGGGAGGCAGCAGUGGGGAAUAUUGCACAAUGGGCGAAAGCCUGAUGCAGCGACGCCGCGUGAGGGAUGACGGCCUUCGGGUUGUAAACCUCUUUCAGCAGGGAAGAAGCGAAAGUGACGGUACCUGCAGAAGAAGCGCCGGCUAACUACGUGCCAGCAGCCGCGGUAAUACGUAGGGCGCAAGCGUUGUCCGGAAUUAUUGGGCGUAAAGAGCUCGUAGGCGGCUUGUCACGUCGGGUGUGAAAGCCCGGGGCUUAACCCCGGGUCUGCAUUCGAUACGGGCUAGCUAGAGUGUGGUAGGGGAGAUCGGAAUUCCUGGUGUAGCGGUGAAAUGCGCAGAUAUCAGGAGGAACACCGGUGGCGAAGGCGGAUCUCUGGGCCAUUACUGACGCUGAGGAGCGAAAGCGUGGGGAGCGAACAGGAUUAGAUACCCUGGUAGUCCACGCCGUAAACGGUGGGAACUAGGUGUUGGCGACAUUCCACGUCGUCGGUGCCGCAGCUAACGC
rnacentral:rRNA from 1 species